UGAAUGACCACAGGAAAAAAAUAUAUAUAUGUAUAUAUAUUUUUUCUUCUUCUUCUUCUCUCGAACAGUAAUUAUUGGUAUAAAUGAGCUUUGUGAAGUCGACUGUUCAGUGCCCUGAAUAUCAGCUGCUUGAAAACAUCUGAAAACAAAGACAUUCAUUUACAUCUCUGUCCAUGUUACCCUCCUGAACAUGUGUGCCUGUUACAUAUAUCUUUGGAAUAUUGUCCAGGAAAUCAGACAGCUCUCACCACUUGAUAUUGGAUCCCUCUCACAUACGUGAAGUGUCCUCAGCAGGAAAAGCUUUAACCAUGGAUCGAUUUUCACACCACGUUUCAAUGGAGAACAUGAACUCAGGCCACAGAACUGUAACACUUAGAAGACUCUGUGGAAUACGAACACUUCUCUGAUUUAUCCUCAUGAAAUUGUUUUCCUGAUGAAAGGAGUGUUCUUCAGAAGAAUACAGAAUGGAUAUCUCUUUGUUGGAGAACAACCGUAUUUUUGUUUUAAAAUGAUAUUAAAAUAAAUACAUUUACUUCAA
ensembl:lncRNA PCDH9-AS2 PCDH9 antisense RNA 2